UUUGCAACUGUUAAAUUGGUGCUUUUAUUUCUCCCUAUACCAUUAUAUACAUAUAUACAUAUAUAUAUAUAUACGCACAUAUAUGUAUAAACAAGCACGUACACAUGCAAACCCACCCUGAUCCUCUUUUGCCUUAUGUUAAAAAAAAAGAAUGGGAAACACAGUUAACAGCAAGGCGAGUAAUUACCUUGAGUCUGAAAAUUAUGCAUACUACGGAAAGAUACAAAAUAAUUUACCAAAUGGUAAAGGUUUAGUUUUAUAUAAAAGUGGUGAAUCUUUUUAUGGCUAUUUUGUUAAUGGAAAAAAAAAUGGUAAAGGAAUAUACAUAGAUAAAAAUCUAACAAAAUAUGAAGGGGUGUGGAAAGAAGAUAAAAUUGUUGAUAAAAUAAAAGUACAACCGUUUAAUAGUGACAAGCUAUAUGUUUUUAUGUAUAGUGACGACAUUAUAAAAUCAUGUAAGAUUUAUAAAUUGAUGAACAGUAAAAAACACGAGUGUGUACAAAUGCAUGAUCAAAAGAAUGUACAUAGUGAGAAUGACACAAAAGGAGUAGCUCCAACCGUAAACUACAAUUGUGUUUCCACUACUGAUUGUAAUAAAAACAAAAAAAAAAAAACUAAGCUAAGUAAAACACCUCCAGAGUUAAAAAAAAAACACUCAAAUCAUCUUAUAAAAAGUAUAAAUAAAAAUAGUGCCAAUAGUAAAAACAAUCCAACUGUUAUUAACAGGAAUAAUUGUCAAAACAUUUUUUUUAGUUCCUCUGAUUCUUCUUCCGAUUUUACAAGUUCGAAUUAUGUAAAAAUUUUGAAAAAAAAAAAACGACAAAAAAAAAAUAAACAACAACAACAACAACAACAACAACAAAAAAAAAAUUUAAAUGAUGACGCAUAUAUAAACGAACACACUAAAAAUGAUGUGUCGGUGAAUGGUGAAGAAGACUCAAUUGAAAAUGCGUUUGAUCAGUCUAAUCCAAAUUUAAACGAACCUACUAGUAACAACUUAUGUGAAGAUCUGAAAAAAACACAUGAAAAA
rnacentral:lncRNA from 1 species